CUGGCUGAUAUUAAUGGAGAUGUCUGCAGGCUUAGCCGUUGCUUCCUCCAGCCAAAAGGACCUGACUUCUCAGCAUUUCACCAGUCUGUCGAUUCCUCCACAGAAAACAGCAACCAAAUGGAAAGUAUUGAAGAAAAUCUUCACAAGCACAGAGAAUGGUAACAAACUGGGGUUUUAACUUCUUCCAUUGGAAUACAUGGAUACACUUUGUGUGAAGUUGAUUGCUUUGAAGGGGAG